rnacentral:rRNA from 1 species
UACGUAGGGUGCGAGCGUUGUCCGGAAUUAUUGGGCGUAAAGAGCUCGUAGGCGGUCUGUCGCGUCCGUUGUGAAAACUCGAGGCUCAACCUCGGGCUUGCAGUGGAUACGGGCAGACUAGAGUGCGGUAGGGGAGACUGGAAUUCCUGGUGUAGCGGUGGAAUGCGCAGAUAUCAGGAGGAACACCAAUAGCGAAGGCAGCUCGCUGGGACGUUACUGACACUGAGGCGCGAAAGCGUGGGGAGCGAACAGG